rnacentral:hammerhead_ribozyme from 1 species
AUUCAGCUGAUGAGUCCCAAAUAGGACAAAAUGUGCGUUUUGAAU